UUUUGAAGUGGUGAAGCUUGAAGAAGAAAAUCGCAGGAAUCUUUAAUGUAUUCUUACUUCUCAUAAAUUAGAUUAACUGUUUGAGUGCCGCGAACAGCAAAUUAAAUCUUUCAGAUAUUCAUAAAUCAGAACUUAGCAUUUGUCUGGAGUCAGAGCUAAGAGAAUUGAAGGUUAUUGCCUCAUAAUUCAUCUACAUAUUUAAAAUCAAUUAGCAAGUUAUUGGAAAAAGAGAUUGUAGUGAAGUAUUCGAGGCAUGCAGUUCCUUUGAAAAUGCAGUGUGGGUUUUCUCUUUUAAGAUCUGUCAAUACCAGAUUGUUACCUAAAGCCACUGGUUAUUAUUUGUAACUGAGAGGGCUGUAUUUUCUUUACAUGAAACAUCUACAAUCUACGAGUAUAUGCUAAGGAAGGCAUUUACUUUCUGAAGCCCACGUAGAGGCCCAGUUAAACCUUUUCAUUCAAUUUUAAUUAAAGAGGAAAUAAAAAAAGAUACUAUAUUAUAGAUAUGUUGUAAAUUUUCUUAUUUUUAAAGCUGGAGGGCUGUAUUUUGUCACCUGUUGCCUACCACCGAAAGAAAAGGGGGGGGGAAACAUUUGCUGAUCAUGCAAGCUUUUGCAUGGAACUUGCUGUUUGUCAUUUUAUUACCGUACAGUAGAGAAAAUAGCCUCUUUUUUUCCCCUAUGCUCUGAGGUGCCACAUAAAAUUAUACAACAUGUUUGCUUCAGAUAGUGCCAGAGAAGCAUAAUGAGGUGUUUAGUCACAGCUUGGAUGCGGUAUUGGUAGAAAACAGCGCAGGAACUGUGGGCUAGAUUUUCAAGGGAAUAGUCCUUGUAAUGCAAGGCUGCCUAAAUCCCAAGCUGGUAUCCAGGCAAUACCAAGACACUAAAUUCUCUGUUGGUUUUUUGUUAGGCUGUUGUCUGCUGAUCAUCUUCCUUUUCUUGAUUUUGGUGUUGCUUUUUCUUUUUUUUCCCCUCUUUUCCUGUGUUAACCCUCGGAUUUCUGUUUGCUCCCCAUCUUGCAGAGCACCUUCAUAAAUACGAAUGCAAACAGCCUGGAGGCCUGUCUUAGAAAGUAUUUCACGGUCAGUGGGAAAAAAUGAGGAAGAGGAGGGUGGGGCUGCCGCAUAGAGGAUCUGGCCCUGCAAAAGGGCACCGGCUUGUGGAGAUGCAGCCCUUCAUGGUGACAGAAUGAAGACUUCUUUUAGAUCCUUUUAAAAAAAUUUGAAAUGCAUGAGCUCCUGCUACGGAGAAGCCUGCAAACAGGGAAAGUGACUUCUCAAAUGUCCUGAAGAGGAGCGCAAAGAAUCUUCCUUCCUUGUCCUGCCCGAUGCUUGAGGAUGCAGAGCUAGCAGAAGAGAUGGGAAGGGGCAGAGCACACCAGUGUGAACACAGUCUGUGUAUAAUGAGACCCCAGCUUCCCACGCUUUGUGCAUUAAUUCAUGUUGCUAGAGACUAGAAAGCUGCCCGUAUUAUUGUGGAUUGAAAAAUGGCUAUUUUGCACAAAGAUCUGAGAAUUGAAGGACACCCUCUAACUCCUGAAGUGGGCUGCUCUAGGGCCUUGGUUUUUGGAAUCUGGCACUCCCGCUCCUCCUUUCAAAGUUGCUGCCAUAAGGGGUGAUCUAGUGCUGAUUUCACCCCUUUGGAGUUUGUCUGUGGUGCUGAGCUCCCACCACCAAAGACUGUGGGCAGCUUGGACCCCUGCCUGACCUUAUUUCUACUAUGUUCUUCUGGGACCUCUAGCAAUGUUCAGCUUCGUCACAAGUGCUACUGCCCGAGAGUAGUGAGGGGAAAAUAUCUUAGUCUAGGCCACCCCCUUCCACAUGCUCUUCUUCUCCCAUCCUGGCCGUGUAACUGGUGAUAACAUCUGCAUCCCAGUGAGUGACAUUGUGGCAGAUGAGGAAACUGAAGCAGAAAGGAAAAGUUGGGAUCAUCCAGCAGGCCCGUGGAUUAGAGGCGAGCAUGGAAAGGAGACAAUCCAGCAUGCUGUCUUAGUUGGCCACAUUGCCUCCCGUAUGUUGCCAAAGCAGCAUUCAUUUAGCUGUUUCAAGAGAUGCUUCUGUUAAUAUAUUUCGUAUUAAUAAUGAUGUUCUAAGCUAUUAUUAAAAAGUUGAUAGCAGAAAGCUUAACAGACAAAAGAAAUGCUUGUUUAGCCUGAUGAAGCCUAACCAUCAGCAUACAUGAAUUCUCACAUGAAUUUUCACUCUGUUUUCCUUGGUUUCUUCUUUGCAAGUGAACCAUCCUGAAAUUAGCCAUUGGAUACAGCAACAGGCAACUUUUCUGCCUAUCCACAUGCUAUAGGGUAUUUUAAGAUUCACAUUUAUGAUAGUACAAAAAAUUACACUUUUUAGUAACCAUUUCGAGAGCCAAACAAUUUUAUAAAUCAACUCAGAACAUUUCAGAAGAAGACAUAAAGGAAGAAAAAGAAUGAGGUGAUGGUUUUCACUUAAAAUAUUUUGCUACCUUUAAAAAUAACUUCCAAACAGCUGGCUAGCUGUGUAGAAAUUAACCCGCUUUUGGAAGGAAGACCACAUAAAGUUUGUACAGACUUUCAGUCUGGAAAUAAUGUGCCAUUGAGCCUUGGCAGCUGAAGGUGUCUCUAUUUUGAAAGCUGGGGUUGGGGGGGGGUAAGGGGGAAGUCAAAUGAUUUAGUGACUGAAGAGAGUUGCCACUUGCGUGAGCUCCAUCCCUAGGGAUAUGACCUUUUUAAUCCUCUUUAGUUAAUGUAUUGGUGAUCUUUACUUAGGCAGAGUAAACAGUGCUGUUGGGAACAAAGGGGAGGUCAUGCUUCCUGCAUUACACUCUGACCCCGGGGUCGCGGCCUUUGUUCACUUCUCAAUGGGAAUUGCUCUCCGAGGGCCACCGCAAAAUGGAGAACUAAUUUAGGCGCGUGCGGGCAGAGAAUGGCAGAGUAUCGGGUUUGCCUCUACCCCAAACCUCCCAGCCCGCCGCCGGCACGGCGAGAGCCAAAGUCAAACUCGGGCAACCGGGACCUAUUAGCUCGUUACUUAUCAAUGGCCGCGGCGCCUCAUCCCUCCUUGGACUAAAUAUAUUGCUGGGGCCUUCCCCCCUGUGCUGACAAUAAUUCAAGUUCUCCAUUUUCAGCCUUUAAACUCUUUUUUUAGCCCCCUCACUGGACUGUUCCAAAUGAAGAAGCGUUAGCCUAGUGAAAAUUAAGAGACUUUUAAGAGAGAAACCUCACGGCAAUUGCAGCAUUGAACUUGGGCCUGUGAGGUUUCACAGUAAGCGUUGUUUCUCAGCCUGUAAGGAAACGUGGUGCUGUGUCCCAGCAGAUUGUAUUCGUCACCUUUUUCAUAACAUUUUCUUUGUGUUGCACCGAGAAAAUAUACAAAUGGGCACACACGCAGAGCCUUGUGAAGCUGAGCGUGGUAAGUGUGGGGUACUAAGCCAAAGUGAACUAGGCCGUCCUCACAUUUAGCACUAAUCUUGUGAAAAAACAAUGAUUUUUUUUUUUUUCUUUAUUUUUUUUUGGCUUCAGAAGUAACUGGUGGCAGAAUGUGAUGCAUCUCAUUUUGAGUUGUUGUGACCAGGGAGCAUAUAUAAAUGUGGUAGCCAAAAUAAAUUAUCUAGAAGAUUCACAUAUAGAAAACAUCACCUCUCACUGAAAUAUGUGUAUUAUUUUCCAUUUAUAUACUGUUCUUUGCUCAGCAUUAAAAUCUAUGAAAUACAAUAUUAGAUAAUAAAAUAAUUAAACUGUGAACACAUAUCUUCAGUCAAAAUACUGCUUUUCCACAUUUCUUUGUUGCAUAUAAAAAUAAAAAGCCCUUAAUUGCUGAUGAUGGCCAAGUUUUGUAAAACACAGCAGGGUUAAAACUGAGCACAGUGUAUUGGGAGAACUUACAACGUUGCCAUCCCCCAAAUAAGUCAUACUACGAUAGUAAGCUUGGAGGCUUCUGUGGCUGUAGACAUGAACAGGAUCAAGGUAAAAAUGUAAAUUUUAGCUCUGCAACUUGGGUAUUUUUGGGCUUACUGGUUUGGUUGGUUUGUAGUUGUGGGGGUUUUUUGCCUGAUCUAGAAUACUGUAACUCUUUUGUGUAAGAGACAGCAAAAUUGUCUCUCUUUUUAUCUCUCUCUUUCUCUUCCCUCCUUUUCAUUUGUUUUUUUUUUUUUUUUUUUUGCAUUCCAGUCAUUUAAGGUAAAAUGUUAUGCUUUUCCCUUAUUUUUCUCAAAGUUGUAUUGUUUAAACAAACACUUCCAGUCGCCUACUCUUAGAUUUAAAAGGGCAUUCUGUAAUACAGCAAAACAAACUAUUUGAACAAAAGAAAGGGCCAAACAACUCAAAGAUCUUUCCCUUUAAUAAAAACUUGCAUCCAAAGCUGAGCCAAACAUGAACAGCAGAGAGUUGGUACAUGAGCAGCAAGCCACGCGAUUACAGCAAUAUUGAUAACAACUCUUCUGUGUCCUUUAUUUGUUACUUGAGAUUCCCAAAGUCCACCAGCUUUAGAUUUUAAUGUGAGCCAGAGGGGAAAUUUAUACUUACUAUCCUUGUUAUCCAAUAAAAAUAAUAUUGUCAGGUUAGCAUAUGUAUAUUCCUCAGUUGUGUUAAUUAGUUAUAAUUAGUGUGUUUACUAAUGAAAAUACAAGGUCUAUCCCCUUUCACCAUGUGAAAGUAGUAGCAUUGCAUUUCUGUUAAUCUGCAGGAUUUUAAAGACUAAAGAGAGUGUGAAGGCAAUGUCAGUUGUGUCAUUUUUUGUCCCUUAAAGCAUUGAUACAGUUGUGCUUUGUUUGGGGGUGAUGAGCUGUAAGAGAAUUUUAAAAUGUGGACAGCUGCUUAGAGAAAAAAAGGAAAAAAUAAAAGUGAAGAAAAUAUUCAGCCAAUAUUAACAUUUCAAAAUAUUAUUUUUGUUCAAAAAGAUAUUGUAAUCUUACAAUAAAUAUAGUGUCUGCUUGAAAGGAAAACUAAUUUUUAUGAGUGCAUGUCAAAUAUUUCAAGAUGAUAACCUAAGGUUAAGGUGUGGCAGUAGAAGUGCCUCUUCUGAAAGCUUCUUAUUAAGUGGGGCCUUUUGGAGAUUUUUUGCUUUGGACGUUCCUUACUCAAAACUCUCAGGACUUUUUUUUUCUUCUUUUGUUUCACUUUUUAAAAGAGCUUUAUCCCUAGCAAAGUUUGGAUUAAUAGAUUGGGCAGAGAAUGGUCUAUUUUACUGCAUGAACUUGAUUCCUCAGCAUUACUAUUCCUAGCAGCGAUUUCUUCAGCUAUUGUACCUGGUAAAGCUUAAUGGUGGUUAAGACUCUUCUCAUUUCCUAGACAAAGAUGUUACUGAAAUUAGAAAUAGGAAAGCUUGUAUUGUUUUUCUAAAUUUGCUUUAUCAACAUUUUUUUCCAAAUGUGACCCCUGCAGUGAAAACUAAAUAAGAACCAUUCAUAUUUAACAGCCUCCUCUGUUAAGCAACUGUUGUACACCUGUCUAUUCCACUUUCAGCAUUGAGCCGUUUCUGUUACCCUGUUGAUUUCCUUGAUCCUUUGGACAAUGAUUUGCAAUAUGUCAGUUUAUCUAAGGAGAGAAAAAAUGAAAAAUUAAAAAAUAGUCUCACAGAACAUGGGUUGGGUCAGGCUUCAGAUGCACUGUGGAAAUUACUGAGUCUAUUCUUUAUUUUUUGAAGAUACACAUUUUUCUAAACACCGGACUGGCAAAGAUAUAUUUAGGCCCAGUGUAACUGAGCAAAAUUGAUUUGAACAAAAUGCUUGUUUUCCCCAUUUGUCUUCUGGUAAAAUCUCUUUGUCUGCCUCUUCCCAUUGAAUACUUGAAUUGUAUGUGAAAGUUUAAAAACGCUACAUGGAUACAGAUAGCUGCAUAUCAUCCAUUUAUGUGCGUGUGGUUUUAAAAUUAAUAUUAGGGUGAGCAGAAAAUGCAAGACAGGCUUCGGUUGCACCUGUAAAAAUAAAAAUGCUACUGCUCUGUGAAACUGCUUUGCUAUAUUUUUCUGCGGUAUGAGGAUACCAUCCCUAUGUUUUCCACUGGCGUUAUCCGCUUUGGAAAGAAAAAUGCGUGACAGCCUCAAAAUGGCGUUCUCUGUCAGGGAAAGGCAAAGACUUGAAUAGUGUAGUAGUUCCAGCACAAAAUGUCCUUUUUCCAACAGAUUUCCAAUACAUUUCUUAGACCGAUAGAGGUUUUGGCCAUUAGCUGGCCAGUAAAAACUGAACAAUAAUACAGUAAAUCUGAUAUUCCUAUAAAAAUCUUCUCCUGCAUGUCUGAGGUACCCAUUUGUUAUACAAGCAUGUAAGUAGAGCAUUAAAGCAAAGUUGUGUCUUGCAAGUCCCCACAACGAAUCGUAAGUAUCUAUUUUGCUUUCCCCUCUGUGCUGAAAACUCGGAGCACUGCCAGCUGAGAGCUGGAACAGUAUUUUGGUGUGCGGGUGCGGUGCUUUAUUAGACGAAAUCCCUGAUCUUUAUUGUCAGUCUCUCAGAUCGUUUCAGGUCUAGUAGAGGAAUGGAGGUCUCACAUUCAGGUGGUCACAGAGCAGUUAGUUAGUUGCAUUUGUUUUCCGACUGUAGGGAUGAGGCGCUAUGAUAAUGUUAAGGGAUAAAUGCUGCGAUAGUGCUGUUGUGAUCAGCUUCUUUUGUAAAGUUCUUACUCUGCAUUUUAGAUAUAUUAACAUCUAAAUGCUGUGUUUAUUUGUAUAACGAGAAAAAAAUCAGUCCUGAACCAUGUCGUCCAUGACUUUCCUGUUAUAAUUCAAAUGUAACCCUUUGUUGUUAACCUUUAGGCAGCAUUAUAAAAAUAUUCUGACUUCCAUUGAGCCAUAUUAUGUAAACUGAAUAUUAAUUUACAGUCUUACUCUAAUAGUAUUCAUACUUACUGGGCUGUUGUAACAUGAGACCAUAAAUGCAUACAUAGCUAUCUCAUGUAUAGGUCCACCAUAACACACAGAAGUAUGUGUGUGGGGAUAUACAUGGAGAAGAGAUGAAGUAUGUGAUUCUGUUAAAACAGUUGUUGGGGGAAGAGGGAAUUGUUUAGUUCUCUUACAAAUAAAUGUCAGAAGUCAUAUGGGCUUCAGAUGACAACUUUGAAUUUUGGUAUUUGGCUUCAAAAGUUUUGAAAAUCAGCUAUAUUUCUAAUUGAGUCAGGGAGAGGUCUCGAUCUUGAAUCAAGUCUCACUGUCCCAUUGCCAAGAGGCAAAAUGUCCGCCUUUUUUUCCAUGCUCGAUUUUCUUAUUAAAUUACUUCUUAGCACUAGAAAAAAAAACACUGCAGUUUUCUUGAAUUUUUUGGUGGACCAAGAAAAAUUAAUUGGUUUAUAUUUCCGUUGAUGACAUUUUCUGGGACUACAAAAUUAGGAGUUGAACUUAUCCAUUUUCAGUGCUUUUAGUACCCAUCUCAAAUCUGUAGUAAAACGCACUUAUGCCCUAGGAAAAAAAACGGUUAAAUUCGAAUCUUGACAUUUCUGUGGAUUAGUCACUGAUAUCCCCUGGGAAUUUUCACUAUUCUGAAAAGGAAGUGUUUUUAAACAACUGAAAAACAUAGGUCACUGAAGAAGGCUGGAAGCAGUUUUCACAAUUCUCUCUCCCCCCCCCUCUUUUUUUUGUGAUGCCAGUGUUAUCAUUCACACUGUACUUUAUUAGUGUAGAUAGCAUAGUAAAAAAUCUACAUGUUUUCCUUAUUAGAGUGUGUGUAUUGGUUUUGUCAGGUUGCAAUAAACGUCAUUAAAAUAACCUUUAUUAAAUUAUGGCAUACAUUUAACCUGCAUGGAUGCAGAUUCAUCUUUUGAAAAGCAAAAUUGUUUAAAAAAAAAAAGAGAGAGAUCUUUUGCAAGAAACUUCUGGUUUGCUGCCAACACCGAAACGACCCUCUCUUUUUAAAAGCCAUGAUACAUGCAAUGCAAUGCAAAGGUAAUAUAAUGUGAAGGUCUUUUCUCUCUAUAUGAACGGGAAUGGUUUCUUUCAGAGGGGGAUGCUCCGAGGCCUUGCUGCUGCUGCUGCUUCUGCUUUGGAGUCCCAGGGCCGUCGCUCCACCAGUGCAGCUGCUGCUGGUGGGGUGAGUUUGAACUUGGAUUUGAAAGGCACGCUGCCGAAUGCCGUGCCUGCCUCACGGCCUGUGUCCAGGAGCGGGGCAGCUUCCCCUUCACAUUUUCUAACAUCCUUUCUGUGUGUUACACACAAUCACAGAAUGUUAGGGAUUGGAAGGGACCUCGAAAGAUCAUCUAGUCCAGUCCCCCUCUGCCAUUCCUGUCAAAUGCGAAAACGCGUGCGUAUAGAUCGUGGAAUGCUCGAAUGUCCAUCUCUGUCUGUGGGAAUACGUCUUUCUGGACAAAGGAAAUGCAGAAUCACAUGUGUGUGUGACAUUUUGUUUACUGAAACUGAAAAGUAGCAGAAUACUGUUAAAGCUGAAUAUGUAAAUUUAGGCAUCCCUUCAAAAUGUAAGAAAUCUAAUAAUGCACGUGUGACAACUUUAGUAAGUAUAACGUGACAGACGGGAAGAAAAAACCCAAAUGAUUCGCAGGAAGACACUUCAUGGAACACAAAUUCUGUGAAGUAUUGAACUGAAGGCGGUGUUCUUUUUUCACAGCCGUAAUUUGUACCUGCAACUGAUAUAAAGAAUGUAGAAAAACCUGUAUUAUCUGUCCAGAUAAAUAUAUUAAUACGUGCAGUAGGUUAAUUAUUCUCUUAGCAUUAUAUUUUAUGAUAGAAACGAUAGUGUCAAUAUCGUUCCUGUUAGGAUUUUUUUUUUUCAAGAGGAGGGAUUUAGAUUUACCAGUGCAAAUAUGCUCUGUUACAGUGUGAGAUUCCAGUGAUAUUUUAGAUAGCAAAGCUAGAUAGAUCAAUCUGAGAUGCACCUUAUGUACCAUAUAUUUUAGUUUUAGAAAUAUUACCGUGAACAGUAAACCUGAAGGUGAAUAUGUGAAAUAGAUAUGAUACUAAUAGUCAGCUCAUUAACAGAUCGUGUCCCUGUGAAUUCUGUAUCUGCAACCAUUUUGGAUUAAGUAUCUCUGUGUGUACUAAAUAAUUGCAACUAUGCUAUGAAUGUGUUGCCACAGUGGACAUCCCUUUUUAUUUUCUUACAGUUUCUGUAAUUUUUUUCAUCCCUAAUAACAUUUCACUGCCAAAAAAACGCUGAGGAAUUUCUGCCGUAUGUGAUUCUUGUUCCCAUUACAAUACAAUUUGUUCAGGAUUGUAGCACUCUAUUGUAACUAAAAAAUAGAAAAAUAGAAACUCUUAGUAUCACAGAACUUGGUCACUGGACACCUCCUGACUAGUUUAAAUGCCUUUAAGUAAUUUGCAAUGUAAAGGUAUUUUAAUCCCCUUUUAGAGUUAUGAAAUUUUCCGUUUUCCUUACAGGUUUCGUCCCAUACAUUUGCUUCGUUUUCGCAGCUUAUUGUUCUGUACUUUUUCUUUUUUAUUUUACGUUGUGUUUUUUACCAUUUUGUUAUUUAUUUUUUUUUACUUCUCUCACUUUUUUUUCUUCCUCCAGUAGCUAUUUCUGCAGGCCGUGCCCGUUUAAAUAAACGGGAGGGGGCUGCGUUUUAAAGACCUAAUAGCUCGUUUUUUUAACUCUGUGCUCCUAAGUGCUAACAAGUCAAAAGCACUGCCAGGACAGAGUAUUUACAGCAGGAGAACUAGAAAUACCAGUCACAACUGAAGGUACAGAAAUACCAGAUACGAAAAAGAAGACUCUCUUUAUGGUUUUAGCUUCUAAACUUUGCCUGUGCAGCAGAGGGUUUUUCCCCGGGGUGGGGGACUCUGGGCAGAGGUCGAAGCGCUGCUUUGGGGGCAAAAAGCUGCAGCUUUCGCCGUGGCCGGUCGGUGCCGGGUCGUUGCGGGCCCUCCCCGCUGCCGCCGGGAGCUGCCGAGGUGCUGCCCCGGGUGGGGCUGAGGGCUCGGGCCGGCGGGGCGGCCGCCGCCGUGCACCUGGUAGGAGCGGGGCCGGGGCCGAGGCCGAGGCCGAGGCCGGGGCGGCGGCACCUGCGGCAGGGCUGGGCCGGGGCCGCCGUGAGGGAGCGAGUGAUCCAGAGCUGUAAUGUCAGGAAGCGACUUCCAUCCUGUCAGGGGACGCCCGAGCAGUGCCAGGGGAAACCGGCUGCGUUGUAAAACUUAGUUAUUACCUUUUCAGUGAAAUAAAAUCCGUGGUGUUUUACAGCUGAGGAGCUCGCUGCUUAUCUGGCUGUAAAACCAGAGGUGACAAGUGUCACUGCUUAGUUUCCAGCUUGCACCUCUGUCGCAAACAGUUCUGUGAGCCUUCAGGAACUCGGCGAUGUGUUUGUGAUAAAUAACUAGAAGCCAGUAAAUAAAAUCUUGUCCUGGGCUUGCUGCUGAUGUAAAUUUUCAUCAGUAAGCAUGGUAUAUGAGAAAAAUAUUAAAACCCUUGGUUUCAAGUGUACAGCUCCGUACCAGGAAAAAAAAAAAAAAAAUAAGGAGAAAAAUUAUAGUUGCAAGAUAAAAUCGUGUGGUAACACCCUUUAAAAACUGCUGUUGCAAUGCACUGUUUAAUGCCUCCUUUCUUUAAAAUAAAAUAAAAUAAAAUAAAAACAAAACACUUGUCCUACUGCCAGAGUUUCAUUUGUGUUGAUACCAGUUAAAUGCCAAGUUUGCUAUAAAACAUUACAGUUAAAAUACAGUGUGCUGAAGGAAGUGUUUUUGCAAAAUGCUUCAUUAUGUUUAAAGGGGAGAAUGUGGAAGUAUAUACCCCUGUUCAGCUUGCAUUUGCAGUUCGGAAUCACUUACUUCAAAAUUGUCUUUUAUUUGGUAUUUAAAUGUUUUUCCCCAUAAUUUGAUACACCACUGAUCCACUGGAAUUAAUGUGACUCGUUCAACAGUAGAAUGGAAUUCUCCCAUGUAACCCUCACAAUGUGUAAUUACUGUCCUUUCUAUGAAGUGUACACCAGCUGUAAUCCCACAGAGCACCUUCGGUCCCUUUAGGGAACGAUGUGCUAGACUGCUUUGCUUUUAUUUAUUUUUUUAUCAUUAUUAUUUUUAAUCCCUAGAGAGUGUCUUUAAAAAGAAAAGCUCUCUAAAUGUUAAGGUAUUAUUGCUAAUGUUUUAAUAACUUGUACUGAAAUUAUUUUAAUGAUAUGAUUUAAAAAAUAAAAAUGUGAAUUUACACUUUUCUGGAUAGCUUAAUGCUAAAAAAGAAAUAUGUUUGCUUGGAUUAUUUUUUAAAAAAUCAGAUACCUGAUCAUUUUUUAUUAAACAUUUCUGGAGGCUGGUAGGUUAGAAACCACCCCAUAUUGAAAAUGAGCUAUAUUCUUUAGAACGACAAAAAUCACAAAUCUGUUUAGAGCUGACCUUAGUCUUGAUGACUGUAUCAAGUAAAACCGAGACGAAAGAACAAGAGGUACCGCUCUGAGUUAAAAUACAGGCAAAUGAAUUAGUGUACAGCAGGAGUAUCUAUAAUGAAUUUUGCAUAGACAGAACUUGUGAUAAGGGGAAAGAGAGAGGUUAUAAAAUUAUGUAAUAGUAUAAACUGUGGUGAGAAAAUAUUGGCUUGCAACUAUUUGCAUAAUUUAAAUUUAUUCAGGCAUAAUGAUUCUUAAAAUAAUUCCUCCACUUCCCUUUUCGGAAUUCCAUUUCUAUUAAGUGAAGCUUACAAGUUGGACUUCACUUAAUUGUUUUCCUCCUUCCUGAAUCCUUAUUUUUUAUUACUGCAGUAACCUAAAGUUAGAUGGCUUUCAAUCUUAUUUUACAACUAUGGUGACAGAUAUAAUGCAUUUAUAUAUCUCCUUGAAGAAGGAUAACUUUCAGUGAAUGAGCCUGAGCCAUAACUGUGUAAAGGCGACGUACUUUUAACCCUCCAAAUGCACCAGAAUCAUCCCAGUAAAAAGAAGGGCAAAAGGAGAGAUGAAACUCAGCUGUUUUCACAUUUAUACAAAAAGUGAGAAAGGAAGGGAUAGGUAUCGAGAGUAAAGAACAAGCAGAUCUGUAUUUUUGUAUAGAAAGUACAAAAAUAGCUAAGGAGCUAAAAAUAGCGUCUGAGAAAAAAGGGGGAAAGCCAUUCAGAAAACCUGUUAAAUGCAAGUAAAACACUAUCAAAUAAAGUCUUCAUAUACUUGAGUCUGAUCCUUCCCUAAAAAAAAAACAGGUCUGUCUUUUAUAUUACAUUGGCAUUAAAAGUUGUUGAAUGCACUAUCGCAUAGAAUCUCUCCUGUGGAGGGUUAACAUUCUCAUCUGUGCCUGUUCUGUUAAAAUAAAUAUUAUCACAAAUGUCAUGCCAUUAUUUUUAAACAAAAAUGAUAAGAGUUUUAGCUGGACAUUAUGGCUGUCUGCUGCUAAGUCUGUUAUCUAGAAAUUUUGCUUGCUUUUACUUUUUAUCCACACAGGAUUUAUGCAUACACAUCCUCUGCAUCCACAGUCUGUAUGCAAUAGAUAUCAAAGUUAUUAGAAGAGGUCAGAAUUACUAGGUGUCACUUUACCAAAAUAAAAAUUUGUGGGAAAGUUACUGUUUAAAUAUCUUGUCAACUAUGUCCUAAUAAUCUCUAGUAUGCUUUUACUAUAAUUCCCCGAAAAUAAAUAUUAAAAACAUUUUGUGGUUUCACACCAUUAAAAAAAAAAAAAAAAGUUGGUAAGCAUAAACCAUAAAACAUAUAUUUGGCUUACAAAAGAAAUGUUUAUUCUCCUCAGAAUGCCAGUGGUUGGGCAUUUUCUUGAGAUUUGAGGCUGCAUAAAAAUGUGUAACAGAGGUUCCUUAAAUAUGCCACUGCAGUAUUUGUUGGAGAUGUGGCACAGCCAGCCAGUUCCGAGAAACCCACAUGUGCCACGCUCUGCUUAAUACAUGUGGCUAAUAUUGUGCAUUUUAAUAGAGUAAAUCUGAUUAAAGUCAGGCCUGAAAACAAUGAGAUGGGUCUUGAUGAUGUAUAGGUAGAAAGUAUGUUACAUCAAACACCAUAUAUGCUGUUCGUAGUAGUGCUUGCUUCUGCCAGCCUUACCGGUUAGGCAGAGUACGUACAGCUCUUGGAACGGCUGUAUUACAAGCUAUAAUAUAUUGGAAAUAGUGUUAAGUCUUUGCCAUUAUCAUUACCACAGCUGAUCAUCCAAAUACUGCGUUUUUAAAAAUCGUGUGAGUUUAUGUAAGAAGGAAAUACAUCUUGGAAAUAAUCUACGACUCUGAAAGACCUCUGGUCCAUUUUGCAGGACCGUGCAUUUUUAAGCAGAAGGCUGGAGAGCAGCCUCUUCGGAUGGGAUCUGAGAGUUGCAAGGGACAGAAACUCACAUCCACCAGUUUUCUUUUUUCCAUUGCAUUUUUUUUUCUAUCACCUCAUGAUCAACAUUUAGAGGAAUAACAUAUCAAUUAAUAUAUCUUUUUUUCCUGAGGACUAUUUUACAAAGCCUUAGAAACACAUGGUAGUGACUUUUCCAGUUAGUUGAAACUAUCUAGCUGUUUUAAAAGUACAUCAGGAAAGCAAUGAUAGUAUAAGCAAAAUAAAUGUUAAAUGAGAGGGGCAACUAUGACUUUCCUUAAGUAAACAUAUAAUCCCUUUUUUCUUAUGGUAGCAUAUUUUCCACAAAGAAGACUCUUCAAGAUUGAAUCCUGUACAGUCUCUUCCCCCCCUUCCCCCCCCCAUCCCAUGUAGGGCAAAUCAAAUGCUCGACAACGUUUUUUGUUAGGAAAGCACAUAAAAAAAUUUGAAUAUACCAAUAACAGAAAAAGUAUAUAUAUUUUUAUUGCAACAAUGAGAUUUCAUUGGUUGAGUGAAAUGGCGAGAUGUGACGCAAAAGGACACUUGGACGGGUAGAAAUGCUGAUGUAUGCCAAAGCAGGCGUACCAAGAAAUGCUGUUGCUAUGAGAGAAACAGAGGGAGAGAGAGAGGGAGAGAGAGAUCGUGAGAGAGCAAGUUGUGGAGGCCUUAUUUUUUCCUUUUCGCCUUACAGCACAGAGACUGCAACAUCUCCCAUUGCUAGCAGGGAGGGUUUAGAAGCUUUCGGUGGGUAUUUUGAUUAGACAGAGCAUUUAGAGGAGGGGAGGAAGACAAGGGAGAUGCAGGUCACCUUAGAGUACAAAAGCAAUUGGAAAGUAGGAGGCUGUAUAUACUAAGCCAAUGAUCUGUGCUAUGAUAGAUAUACAAAUUAGUACGACAGAUGAAGCAGCUUAGCUCAUUAUCCACCUGAUGGUAUUAAGACUUAGAAUUCAAAAUGACAAAAUUAAAAUGCACGCACACACACACACAUACACACACAUAGAUUUAUAAUGACCCCACCUUUUCAGCUUAUGAAUUAUCCAGCUGGGAUACCGACGUCUCUUGUGUAACAUUCUUAAAGAGCUGCAAUAAAUUCACCUUGUGAGUCCAUUAGCCAGAAAAGGGGGAAAAAUAAUUUGCAGGAUUUUUUUAUUAUUAUUAUUUUUUUCGUCUCUCUUCUUCGGCAAGGGGGAGAAAAGUUUGUGCUGUGAACUUAGCCUAGCAGCUUCUGGAACGUGAGCCAAAAGGGGCAGGAAGUUGUUUUACAAUAGCGUUACAGUGAUCUGCCACAAAUGGAAAAAGCCAAAUGUUGGACUCGGCAAAGAGAAAAAAUAUCCUUCUCCCCCUCGUUUCCCUCCUUUUGCCCCUUAAGAGAGAAAAAAAGAGAAAGGCACGUUGAGCUAGAAGUUCUUUUUCUAUUUUAAUUACUUCUGCCCUCGCAGCCGCCCAUUGUUGCUGCCGGGCGCUGGCAGCCGGGGGCAGUUUGUGGCAGGGGAGCGGGCGGAGGAGAAGCCGCCGCCGGUUGCUAGGAGACUGCAGAGCCUGCAAGGUGAACACCAACCAACCAACCACCCACCCACCCAAACCACCGGCUCCCCGAGGCUGGCUUCCCAAACCCCUGCGCCCAGGUGUACCAGCCUGGAUGUCGUCUCCCUGUGGUGAGUGCAGAAUUUACAGCAGAAGAAUUACAAUUUUACACUGAAAAAGCACUUUUUCAUCUGAACCAUCAUGCAAAAUGCAGGAUGAAAGUAGCUGAAGUUUUCUAUCACAUCAUCUGCAGGACUUCUGGAAGAUUCUUCUGAAACUUGGGCAUAUCCGUCUCAGGCUGCUCCUAAAAAGAUGGAGUAGUAAUCUGGUAAAAUGAGCUCAAGACACACAAAAGGGAAGACAUUGGAGACUAAUCUGCAAAGUGUUCAGAUACGAUGUCAAAGCAAACAAGGGACACUUAGAAGUAGCGUGACUCAAAAAAAAAAAAGGCAGCAUUUUGAAAGAAUGACUUACUGGGGAACCAAGUUAGCGGAUGAAAGUGAAGAUGGGUCACCUAUGCAGAGGAAAUGACAAGGAAACUACUGAUACAUCUUCCUGAUGGGUCUUCUAGAUCAAACUUAACAAAUAUAACAAUUUCUUAGAAGAAAUGGCUGCAGAAUGUGGAGUCAAUUGGUGUGAAGUUCCUGCUGGCAAGGCCUUCAAGUUGAAGCUUCUACUGGACCCAGCUGAGGGAUGAAAGAGAGAACUUUAGCAGAACUUUGCUUGUGGAAUAACCUGCUCGUAGCCAGGUUAACAAACACCCAGAACCAGUCUUGAGGAAAUGCCAAGAGUCCCAAAAUAAUGCAAGGGCUCGAGGAGAAGUGAGAAAGGCAUGAUUUGGAAGAGUUGGAUAUCACAUAUCAAAUGAAGAAUACAGGUUUCAUCUCCCCUGGACGUCGGCUUCACCCCGAUUUCUGGGCAUUAGGACGUGGUAAUCGUCAUUUCUGCCACAGGGAGCUCAGAAACGCAGCCUGGCGUGAUUUCCCCCUCCUGCUGCUGCUGCUCCCGUGUCGCGCCUGGCAGCCAUCUUAGGCCUGGGCAGGAGGCCCAUCCGGGUGAACACACCACCUCGGCUGGCAAGAAAUGGAAUCCUUCCCUCCACCAAAUCAUUUCUGUCUGAAAUCCUUGGGAAAAGUUUCGUGCCAUGGCACUGCUCUGUCAGAACCCUGUUCUGGAAGGAUGACGUUGCAGUUCACAUUGCUGCCCAGGACCUGUUGAAUUCGGUGGGAAAGCUUCCCUUGGCCUCAGCAACCAUUGCAGCAGAACCUCAGCCAUUUCACCCAACAACGACUCUUGCCAGCAAAUGUUUGUGACAUUUUCGAUAGUGAAUAAAUAGUCCGUAGGAGCAAGAGUGGUGGCUGUAUGUCGCUUUGGAAGCCGGAAGAUAAUCAUUAUAUGGAGACAUGCUGGAAACAGCUGAUGUGGUCUGCAUCCAGACCUGCAGGAAAGUCCUUCCCUUGUCACAAAGCCUCUGAGCCGCCUCCUGCCCUGGAGCACUCACUGUGUUCCACCUCCAGCCUGCAGGUCCCCAUAUCAAUUAUGCUGAAAGCAGUGGCAGAUCACUUCAGUUACCCUGAAAUGUGACCUACGUCUUUGGGGUGAGAUCUGCUUUAUGGCAAAACAUCGCUUUAGUUGAUCUGUGGGUGGCUGAUGCAUGUAUCGUUUGUCGUUAAUCAUUCUUUAGUUAACUGUUAAGAAAAAGUUAAGUUAGCUGAAUAAGUUAGGCUAUUUGCUUUAAAAGUUUGCUUAUUUAUUAAAGCAGUGUUUUUAUUACACCGUGGGCUGGUACCUAAGUUAUUUCCACUUCUUUAGAUCUGGCCUGCGUGAGAAGUGCUGUGGUCCAUCAAACCAAGUGGUGGGGAAUAACAACCUGCUCAAAAUCUGGCGUAAGUGUGAGGUUAGAGUAGAUUAUAAUACAGUGGCAAUUUUGCUAGUUGUAUGAACCAAAGUCUGUGUAGUAUGGUAGGGUGUGUUUUGUUUGGCCAUUGUUUCAGAGCUGGGUUACAGUUCACUGAGGAGUGGCAUAUUGUUUAAGUAGGCCAUAACAUUUCCACACAGUCUUGACAGAUUCUUUGUUCAGUGUUACAAAUUUACCUGUGCAGGACUUGGGAAAUUCAGUUAGAGAAGCUCAGCUGUUCCGUGUUAGGAUAAUAGAGGAAUAUCUAGAAGCAUGUUGAACAAUCUGUCUAAGUCAGCAUCCAUUCUCUAAGUCAUAGCGAUGCCUUUCUUGAAGUGACAGAACUGGUUUGAUAAGAUGCAGUCAUGUCGGAGCUGGAAGUACAAAAGUACAUUUAUUAAAAAUGAAUGCUGUAUCCUUCUUUCCCCUCGUGUAUCUUGUCACUGACAUGACUUCACAAGUUGCAAAUCUGUUAAACGUUUCAAACAUGAAACUAGAGCUCAUUAAGCAAAAUGUCGACUGGUAUAUAGCAAACUGUUUCAGACUCAAGACUGUUAAUAUUUGUCUCCAGAGCUUUUUGUCUUCUAGAUUGUCACCAAGCAGUCCUUUUGUCUGGGAAUACAGCUCGUGUUUCAUCUGAUCGGAGUCUGACUGUCCUUUGGGGUGAGGUAGUAGGUUGUAUAGUUUUAGGGCUCUGCCCUGCCUGUCACAUAACUAUACAAUCUACUGUCUUUCCUGAAGUGGCUGUGAUACCAUCGCUGGACAUGUCUUCAAAAGACAAAGCAAAAAUUUUUCAGCUGUAACAUUAUCUGUCUCUGUCUACAUGUUGGAUUUGGUUCUUGUAGCAGUGUUAUGAAAGAACACGUGUCCUUAUAGCGUUUAGAUUCCUGCAUUUCUCCUUCACGUUCAAAAGCAAUUCCCUUUUUGCUAUUUUCUCAGAGAAGGUGGAGUGUAAGUGACAGGGCACAGAAGCACCACACAGUCUACAAUGCUCAGCUUUCUCAGACUGACACAAGAGUGGCCAUUUGGAAACAUUUGACCUGUUUCUCCAUUACUCUGUGGCAUUUGUGUUGAUAUUCAAUGGAAAAUGCCACCUUUGAUUCAGCAGCUACUUAAAUCUGCUUUGCAUAGGCUGUUUGAGAAAAGUAUGAAGUGAUGAGCUGCACAAAAACCAAAGAGGAUGUCUUCCAGUUGCUUGUGUUCUGCCCUGGCACUGGUAAAUGCUGAACCCCUAAGUAAAAAGGUUUCUUUAAUCGGUUUUCGUACUCUGAUUUAACUUGAUUUUUAUUACAUAAUGCUAAUUAGGGAGAGACAGUGCUUGCCACCGCUGUUCUUAUGUCUCUGGAGUCAGCCCAUGAAUUCUGACUGACUCGCAGGUGGAACUGUGAGGAAGGACCAACAGGAGGUAAUGAUGAUCUUUUUAAGCUCAUAAAUGUGUGGGCUAGAAGGUGCUGAGAGAGUCUGACUUGCAGUCAGUGAAAUGUUAGUUUGCUUCAGAAGAUGCACUUGAUGCUCUAACAGGAUGAGGUAGUAGGUUGUGUGGUUUCAGGGUAGUGAUUUUGCCCCAGUCAGGAGAUAACUAUACAACCUACUGCCUUCCCUGAUAAGCAGCAUAACAACAUCAGUGUCUUAAUUCACAGAAAAACAAGGGCUAGAACAUACUUCUGUGACCAGCAAAGUAAGUUGACACACAGUUGUUGUUACCCUGUCUCUAAUAGCUCUAAAUGUAGUGUCGCAUUAUUUUUUAAAACUGCCUACAGAAUAAUUACUUUCUUACAAGUCUUUAUUAUGAAAAAUUGAAUUAAAGAAGUUUUGCUUAUUUCAAA